AAAAGUUUUCACCCAGGACCCCCUUGUGCCGGUGGCUUAAAAAAGGAGUGGCAACCCUGGUCUUCCAGUGGCCCUCUAUACUUUGAAGGGAGGAGAAGAUACCCACCUUCUCCAUCCACACAAAGGGCCAUGUGCAUGACAGGUGGGGGCAAAGAUUUCCAGCCCCUGCUGAAAGCAGGAUUGGCUACUGGUGGAAGCAGCCACAUGGAUGAGAACUGGAAGCCUUGCAAAGGACAAUGGACAGCCAACCCUGAGCAGAACAAGAAAGAGAUGCAGAUAGCAGCUCAGUAUGCUAGUCCAUAGCAAGACGAAGGAUGGUGUUGGUCCAUCGAAGCCUAGUUUCAGCCAUUUUUGCUUCUUAUCUUUUAAUUUGAGUGUGAGGUCAGGAUAUCAUUGUGAAUGUCCAAGUUAAUGAGACACAAUAGCUUUUGUGGGAGGAGACUACCUGAUGGCUGGAUGAAAACAAGAAUCCCUUCAAUGUCUCCCAGCCCAAGGUGCAGUGCUGCAUCUCUGGUCAGUUGUGAGUCUGAGAUGAAGCACUGUAGCUCGGGAAGGGAGGAACGAUGCAGCAGAAGGUGCCGGCCGUCACUUCUCCUUUGCUGGGCUGCAUGGAGCAGGAGAGUCCAGGCAAGUAUGUCUACUAAAUAGACCCAGGGAGCAAAGGAAUUUCUCUGGAUUGUGGCAGCAAGGAAUGAAAUAGCACCAGAGACGAAGCAUGAAGAACAUAGUGGAGAAAACAACAGCCUACAGGAAGUAUUAGAAGUAGAGAGAGAUUUCUUUGUCACUGCCCACUUGGAGAGUGGUGGCCUGCAGUUAAGGAUGGGGGAGAAAUGCAAUUCAGUUCAUAUUUAAAGGUGGACGUAUAUCAUUCUCACUUUCUAAAAACAAUUUGCAAACUGAAACCUAACCAUCCUUUGAAAUUCACACUACACCAAAUUUUGCAAUGCACCUCUCCAGCCAAGUAAUGUGUACAAAAUUGCAUAUUCAAGGUGGAAAUCUGCAUAUGAAUGCAUAUAUUAGUGAAAGUAAUACAGUACACAAAAAUGGCUAUUAUUUAUAAUAUAAAAUGAUUAUUAUUUACAAUGAAUAAAAAUCACUUUGUAAACAUAUGUAUAUUAGGCAAAAUUACAUACAAAUAUUUGUAUAUCAGGAAAAAUUCACACUAAUAUGCUGAUGAAUUUUCAUGAGAUCUUUCUUUAAAAAAAAUCACAUAUCGGUGUGAAAAUGUGGAGAACUGAAUUUAUGACUGGAAAAAUGAAAAACAGAGUAACCCAAAUUCUCCCAUCCCUACCUGCAGUUAAUUUAUUGAAAGAGUAGGCCAUGUCACCAAGCAAUGGCUCAAGCAAUGACUCCUAAUGAAAAAUGCCUUCUUGUCUCUGAAAGAAGAAAUCGUACAUGCUAUUUUGUACAUCCAAAGUGUGGCAAACCAUGCGUUCCAACAGUUGAAUGUAGGAAGUAACACACUUGCCAGUUCUAAGGUAGGGCCAGAGAAAUAUCUCCUUCGGGAGCAUGUGUGUGCCAGUGCAUAGUGUAUAUGCACAUAUCUGCACAAAGAAAACAUGCUGAUUGAAACAAAUGCCUACCUCUCUUUACAGGAGGUGCAUGCCUUUUUUCUUGGAUUGUUCAUGCUUGGGAAAACAAAACACAGCUCCAGCCCGAGGGCUUGUCAUAGAGAAAAGAGGAUUCUUGCAUGGCUACCAAAUCUCUUCUUCAGUGGCACCACCAAGUGGCCAUACCAAGCAGUGUGCCCAAGCAAACAGCUCUUCCAUUUGAGGUCUAUUUUAGCAGGGUCACGUAAGAAAAGCCUGAUGUGCAGGAAGAUUUGAAGGAGCCACUUGGCAGGUAUCCUUGCCUUCAGCCCAACUCUCACUGUGUCCUCGGGGUCCAGUUUUCCCAGGAAUCCCUUAGAUGAUAAGAGGGGGAUUCCUGGAAAUACUGUUCUUGGGGUCAUGGCUCAGCAACUGGAGACAACUUGUUCCCUUUUUAUCACUCUGGAGAAGGGCAUAGAAAAAAAUAGAGAGCACUUGGGAAAAGGAAAAUGCCUCAAGGAAUUUGCUCCAGUCAUUCAGCCCCCAAAAGCCCAGGGGACCAGAAUCAUCUCUGCACAUGACCUCGUGGCAGGGUUUUCGAAAUCACACUGGGCUUCCUAAGUGAAGACAAUUGUGUGUACUGCCUUCAAGUCGAUUCUGACUUAUGGCGUCCCUAUGAACAGGGUUUUCAUGAGGCUGAGAGGCAGUGACUGGCCCAAGGUCACCCAGUGAGCUUCAUGGCUAUCUGGGAAUUCGAACCCUGGUCUCUCAGGUCGUAGUCCAACACCUUAACCACUACACCACACUGACUCUCUUGAAGACAAUUAACUGCAUAGCAAAGAGAGAAAGAGUUUGUUCACCAGGCACUGUCCAGCCUUUGCUUAGUUUGGGGCUACACAGAUAGGGGGGAUCAUGGCCAUUGUAUUGCAGACUAGCAAGCCUGAAAGGUUUGGAAACCUGUAUUAUUGCCCCACUGAUUCCCAGAGCCUUCUGUGUUGCACCAUCUGGGAAAGGGCAUUUGGACUUCUAGUUCAAUCAAGUCUGUGCUGGCUGGGAUGUCAAGAAAGAAUAUAAUUGCUCCUUGGAUGUGAUGGGUGUAAGAGGCAGCCCAUCAUGAACUUCCACAUACCCAAAGGUUGCCUUCCAAACCCAGGCAAGUGAAGAACUGCUGCUGCCCUCAUAGAUUGCAAAGCAUUUUAUGAAUUAAAAUGUUCUUCUGGAUGAGUUAUACUGCUCUGCCCUGAGCUGUAGUGCUCUAGUUCCCGCUCUUGUCUGGCGUAUGUCAUGGGCUAACAAUGGCAAACAAGGCAUGGUUUUAACCCCUUCUGUGCUACCUGGGCACGGCUGUGUCCAUAGGGGUGGGGUGAGGAAUUCAAUUCAGUUCUCAUUUAAAGGUGAAUCCACCUAAUUACAAACCAAAAUACAGCCAUCCUUUGAACAACACACUUUUCUGAACUGCAGUUGUCCAGCUAAGUAUUGUAUACAAAAACACAUAUACUAGGAUAAAGUGUGCAUUAAAAUGCAUAUUAGUGAAAAUAACAUACAUAAUGCUUUAUAGGGGAAAUUGCUAUGCAAAAUGUGUAUAUUAGGGGAAAUUGCAUACAAACGUGUGACUGUUAGGGGAAAUUUGCACUAAAGUGCUGGUGGAUUUUCAUGAGGGCUUUUAAACAAAAAAUCAAAAACUUGUGGAAAUGUGGAGAACUGAAUUUAAGAUUGAAAAAAUGAGGAAUUGACAGAAAUUGAAACUGACAGGUUCACCCAUCUCUGUAUCAAUAAAGCACUGAGCU